GCCGUUGAAGAACAGCGUGAAGAUGGAACCUGCUACUGAGCACAUCAACUCUUAAGUGUGUCCCUGGAAGAUCUACCAUCAACUUCCAGAACUGCAACUGCUAGUACUGUCAGAUGGUGAAUGCUACUCAGGCAAACACCAUUGUUACACCACUUUGAAGGAGAGCCUGGUCAUUUGGUCCCCUCAGCUUCUCCCUUUCUCAGUGAUAUGUUCAUUGUGGCUGGGAGAAUUGUGGGGCACUCUUUCCUUCAUGGAGGACCCUGCUUGUCUGGACUCUGUGAUGUGGUUGUCCAUACUGCUUCGUGGGAGCCCAGACACGGCUACAGUAAACCUGGAGGACUGUGCAGACCUGGACAUUAGAGAAACAGUCAUUCUGGAGGUGGAAUCAAACCUAUCAGCUGAAGAAAUGGGAAGGGUACAGAACGUGGCCUCUUCCUGGGACCUCCCUCCGCUAACCACAACCAACAGGGCCCUUGUGAGUGAAACC